CAUCAUCAGGCCAAAGACAGGGGAAAACAACAAACUCCACUUAAGAAAGCUGAGAAGAGGGAAGAGCAAUAAGGCCUGUCCUCUCUGUCACCUAGUUAUGCCUCCUGAAGCCUCUUUUUCCCACCAAUGGGUCGGCUAUUCUUUGCUACAGAAGCUUGUUCACUGAGACCAUUCUCUGCGUUCUCGCAGGAUUUUGUGGAGAACAGGAAGAAACACAAAGUCUUGUGUUUGUGGUAUAGCAAAGAAGAGAACUCUGAAGAGCGGCUUUUUAGCUUUUGUUAUGGUUUACCAGUUUUCCAUCACAAGCUGCAAGGAGCAAUACCUGGCCCAGGAGGCCAGAAGAGAGACAAUACCUCAGCAGAUGAGGCUGGAUCUUGAGGCUGAGUAUAAAUGUUUCACACAGACCUGGAUUUUCUAUAGCAAUGAGGAGGGGUGGAAUAAGUUCCUGUCUCUGCCACAGCCCUUCAGAACAAGCAGCUGAAAUUCAUCCUGGUUGGUAACCCAAUACUCACACCUGGCUUUGGAAGAGAAAAAAGUUCUGUGGGGAAGGAAAUUGCCUUAUCAACUCUGCCUUGAAACCACAGACAUGGAGAUGGGCAUCCACACUACCCCAGAGCCCAGUGCAAGGCCCAGCUCAAGAGCAGGCAGAAUCAUCUUGAAAGGCCUGAAAGAAAUAUUUGUGCCAUUCUUGAGGAUAGCUUGCUUCACCAGGUGCCUCUGCAGGUGGAUUAAACUUGGCAGUGCUACAAAUAACAUGGUCCCUGCUGGAGAGUCUGUGUUCACAGAGAAGGAGAGUGGAUGACAAGACCUGUAAGGAGGAGAGAGCAGCUCUGAGACAGGUCCUAAUCAAUGCACCAAAUCUGUAAUCACCAAAAAGUAGGUCUGGACAUACGGAUUCGUAUGAUUGUCCUAACCCAAGAUCACGUUACCAAGUACUUGCUGAACAAAAGGAGCUCAUAUAAAUGUUCCAUAAUUCUAUGGCAUCCUUGGCAAUAUUUCAGCUUGUCAGAAAUUCAAAGUCUGCUGUUUGGGCAAGUAUCCUAGAACACUUGGUUGUUAAGCAGAGAGAAUCCUGUUUGCUGUUGCAGAAUGAGGAAGAUGUGUUCCUGCCAGCACCUGAAUGCACAGUGCCAGCGCCCGAGCCCUCAAUGAGACCUUGGAGGUUGAAAACCACCUUCACAGCUCCUCUGGACAUGAACAAGAGGUGGAAUCCCAUCUGCCAUAGGAGAACUUCACCUGGGAGAAAACUGCAACCUAAUGCAGGAUUGUGCAGAGCAGGCAUUGCCACAUAAGUGACCAAGUAAACUCAGCUUCUGCAGGUUUCAGUGUCAGCCUUGAGCACACAGGUGGAAAGACCCAAGAUGGAUCCUACCAGGAAGAAUCUGAGAGACCUUGGGAAAAAAACAUAACAUCCAGGAUCACCAGCUGGGAAGGCUUGGGCUGAGAAAGGAUUGUGACAGAACAUGUAAAAAAAGGAAGGUGUGGAAAUUUGAAAUUCUAAGAACACGCAGAAGUUUGGAAUGCCAUGAAAAUUUGCCUUGUUUUAGUUGUUGAAUAUUAUAUAAUCUGUCUUCUCCUUGCAGGAGUGCCUAAUUCCUGUAUUAAUUACAGCUUUUGUGGCAUACUGGGGCACUCCUGUGCAUAUUUGCUUCAGAGCUCACCAACCUGGAAGACAUGGCUGAGGUUUGCUCCUUGCCUAAUAGAAAAGUCUGAUCUUGAACAGGUCUGUCUGGCCACUGUAGUGAGUGAUGCUGGCAAUCCUCAUAAAAUGAAAUGUUCAAUAUUCUGUGUGUAGAAUCACAUCCAUUUUCACAACAUCUGGAAUGAUUCCCCUGACAUUUCAGGGUUCUUUAGCUUAAAUGUUCCGUGAAGUCUGUGUACAACUAACAGUUGCUGCUUUUCUUCUGGAGUGCAAAGAGAAUGUACAGUUUUGCAUCCAUUUGUGUGGCUUCUGGGACUUUUUCUGCUUUUAACAUUCUCUGGCAAUGCCUCAUCCUGAGUCUGCCUUUGGCGGCAGCCACAGCACUGAGGGGCCAUGCAGGCAGAAUAAAUAACAAGGCAGUGCUGAGAGGCUUUCCUUGAUAAAAAAUUGCUGUAGGCUGGGCAGAGAGGGGCACAUUUUUUUAGCAAAGAAAAGGCUCCCAUGGCUGCUGCUGUAGGAAACGGAUCCAUUAUUGUCACUCUCUGCUCUGGGAAGGGACAGAAGAACUUUUUGAUUUUCUUUGGUUUUUCUUGUAUAGUCUGCCACAGCAGCCAGUAUUAGCAAAGCCAGACCUGUGCUCAUCUUUUCAAGAUAUCACUUUUAUUUCUGAAUACUGAUUACUCAGGCAGACUGCAAGGCAGAGCUGUGAGAGUUUCAAAAGCAGGGCAACAGAUUGUUGUACUGAAGUGGUAAUGACACGAAAAAUGGAGGCAGGGUACAAGCAAUCCACUUAAGGGACCUGGAAAAGCUGUGAAGAAAAGGAUUGGGCUGAAAGACAGAUGUUAGAUGAAGUUUUUUACUCAGCACUUGUUAGACCACAUCUAGAGUACUGUGUCCAGCUUUGCCUCCUGCAACACCAGAAAGGCACCGAUGACCCAGAGCAAGCUCAGCAGAGGACCUCCAAAAUGAUUGGGACAGGAGCACUUGCCUUAUGAGGACAGGCUGGGAGAGGUGGGCUUCUUCCAUCAGGAGGUACAAGGGCUUUGGAAGGAUUUAACAACAGGUGCCUGAUGAGUACAAGGAAGUCAUGGAAAAGAUGGAACCAAGCUGUUCAUAUUUGGGCACAAUAGUGGAGCAUAGACAGUUGAAUUCUCAUGGGAUUUAAGGAGAAGAUUUUUCACUGCAAGGGCAGCCAGGCAGCAAAGCAAGGAGGCUGUGCAGUCAGUCUCCUCUCUGGGAGGAUUUUGAAGACCCAACUGGAUAAACCUCAAACAAUGUGAUCUGAAGCUUACCUUGUUUUAUGCAGGGGCUUCAGCCAGAUACCUCCUGACCCUUUCCACCUGAGUUACUCUGUGAUCCUGGUUACCAGCCCCUCCAUCCUAGUAAAUAUAAUAACUGCUUUGCACAGCUCACUACAGCUUAGUCAUCACCCAAAACAGCCACUACAUGAACUCCUAACCUCAAGAAAAAAAUGUGCAAGCCUCCUUGCAAUAUUAUAAUUUGUUUAGGAAACAAACCUUGAAAUGUUGACCUCAAUGUCUUCAGCAGAGUUACAGCAGUUCAGAGCUGUGGGGAGCGUGAAACAAUGGUUUCAACUAAGAAAUGUGUUGUAUAAAGCCUGAAAUCUCCUGCUCUCAGGCCAUCAAGGUAAGUUAGUGCUGGGUGCCCUACAUUGCUUAGAGGUCCAGCAAAGUCAAAGACUGGGGUACCAGGAGAAGUUUGAGAUGUUCUUUUCGUUCAGAGUGUGAUGGAGGAAAUGGUGUUGAUCUUCUCAUGCCCUCUGGUUCGCUGUUAUUAUACAUGUAUGAUGGUUCUCUGCUUUGAACCUCACACUUUAAGAUGUAAAUAUAAACCACAGGGCUGGUGCUUUGUAUCAGUGUUAGAGAGAGAGAAACAACAGCAACCAGCUGGAACUUAGCACUUGAGAAAACACAAAGGAAGGUAAAGAAGUUACAGAAAAAAUGGUCUGCCAGGUUUAGCAUAAGAAGGACUUUUUGAGUCAGAGUACAAGCAGAUGAAGUAGUAAAAGACCACUUUGCAAAGUGAAAAUAGGACCAUUCAUAACUUCAAUAGACAAAAAAAGAAAGAAAUUGACAAUAGAUAUUUAUAUUUCGAGAAAAGCAGGCCAUAAUCCUAUGCCACUUCAAAUGUUUUCCAGUCCAUUGAAAAGUUAAAAAAAAUUACCAUGUAUUUAAGAAGAAUGUUUUUAAAUCACCAGACUUUCAUCAAAAUGUACAGCCAAUUGCUUCAAUCCUUCGGUGAUGGUACUGUAAAAAGGAAAAAUGGGUUUAUAUGGCCAACCACCUUGCUAUCCUGAUGUAUGUCCCUUGCAAGAUAUGAGAAAAAUUAACAAGAUUUAAUUAAUGAAGAUGUAAAUAGAUGUAAAAGGUGUGAAUACAAUUUCAUUACAGUCAAUAUGAUGCUGUUAAAAAACAAGGCUUGUCAAUACAGCCUGAUUUUACUAUGAAUUAUGUGUUUGGCUGAUAAUCACUGUCAUGUAGACAUAAAAGAUUUCUAUGGUUUAAUGUGUACUGUUUGCUGGCAUAGAAUAAUCUGAGCUUUUCAAAAAUGAGCAACUGCAUGGCAAGGUUGCAAAAAUGAGCAAUUAGUGUCAAUAAAGCUUGGAUAAGAUGAAUUUAGAACUUGCUAAAUGGCAGAUUGCAAAGCUGUUGCUAACAUAAAAUUUUCUCUGAAUGAGUAUGUUUCUAGUGGCAUCCCAUGGUGGUAUGUACUAGAAACAGUGUUGACCAACCAAUUUCAUCAGUGAUCUGGAAUUAAAUGCAACAUUCCUGUUGAUUUAAAACAAACCUGUGAAUAUUACAUAUGCUGCUGGAAUACAAAUUAUAAUGCCAUAACAACUAUAUGAAACAGUGCAGGGAGUUUAGGUGUAUGAGUGUAAUCAGAUAAAGCUUUUUAAUAUGGCUGAGACUGUAUCUGCAGAAUUGUGGAAGCAGUAUUGACAAGGAGAGUCUCAGAGUUGCCACAGUGCAAGCAGAGUAUUCCUGUGAUGCUCUGGCAAUACGAGCAAAUAUAAUGCUCAGCUAAAUAAACAUGAGAUAAGCAAGCAGGAGCAGGGAAGUCAUUCCACUGGAACUGAAAUAUUGCAUGAAGUCCUGAUGCAGGCAUCUUGAAAAACAUUUUGGAAAAUGAAAAUGUGCAGAGAUGAUUUGAGGCCUGAUGAGUUUGAGAAAAUGGUUUAUUUGUAGAGGGUUUGAUCUAUUUAUUGUGAAGUAGCUUGAUAGCAGCUGAAAUAGGGAAAAAAAAGGAAGGUAGGGGACAGUGAAUACUUAAUCUAGUCAGAAGAUUUCAUUCAGCAAGAAACAAGAAUAGGGUUAUUAAGCCCAAGUUUUGGAAGCCAGAAAGGGUAGUAGGACAAGAAGAUCCACCUUUUUUUUAACACUGGGGGAUGAAUCUUUGAAAAAAAAAAUUUAAAAGGGAUGGUGAAUCUGUUUCUGAAUCUUCACCUCUAUUAAGAAGAAAAUGCCUUGAAAAAUAGUUUUUAGUCAGACAGAGGUCACCUGAUGUGGUAAAAGAAAAACUCCUCCAGCAUUAAUUUGGUUAAACAGACAAGAAUCACUCUGAGAUCUUCCCUCCUGUUACCACUUAGGUCUCAGAGAAGUCCAAGGAUGGGCAUGUGAGGGUAAUUUUGUGCUUGUGCUUUUGUUUUUGGUUUAAAUACCUAAAGCCACCUGUGGGGCUCUCUGUGCUCUAGCAACACUGGUCAUACUCAUCCUUUUUGUUGUAUGUUGAAUGGUUAUCACAGUCUUUCUGAAACAAGAAGUGUCUGUGUCUGUCCCCAAAUUCCCUCCAGGCAGGGAAGAAACACUAGGAAAACAUCCUGCCAACAGAACUUUUUUUUCUGAAACUUGCAAGUAAGAAACAAUUUGUGAAGGAGGUGUGAGCCAUUGUGUUUUCUCUCUGGAAGGAUCCCUUUCCAUAUUAUUGAGACUGGUCUUAUUACAGCCAUCUCCAGCUGGCAGGAAAGUAAUGUAUGUACUCAAUAUCAGCAAACAUCAAUGAAAUGAGCCUUUAGAGCCCCUUACUGUGCUUGAAUCACCUUUACUGAUGCAGUGGGAUACAAACUGCAUUUCCAAUAGCUGUAGCUGAUGGACCUCAGGACCAGAUGGAGGAAACUGCCUGUGACUGGGGAGAGCAAAUUUAAACUGCUCCCGAGUGCCCCAAAAUAACCUCUCAAGCAGUCAUGGUUACAGGAGCAAAAACAGAGCCAGCACUGCCACAGACAUCACCCAGCCAAAAGUGCUCUUCCAGAGAGGCACUUCAUCUGCCUGCAUAAAGCAGGGCUGGGAGUCACUCACCUAAAUGUAGGUCACCUGGGCUGAGUGGUGACCAGGAGAGGCCAGUGCUGAAUGGGCACCAAAGUGUGAUUCAGCCCACCCUAAAAUAGACAUCUAAAUUAAGGCUCCACAGAAGUGUCUUCUCUCUCUCUUGGCUGCACAGGGAGUUUUCUAAGUGGCUCAGCUACAGACUGCUCUGCUGCAGAUGUCUGCCUUCAUUAACUUUUAGGGUCUUAGGACCAACUCAAUUUCUGCCACCUGUCAGCACAAGGAAAGGGCCCUGAUGGGCCACAGUCACACUUGUCAUGUACAGGAAAAGGAGCAGAUGUGAUUUCAUUGUGUUCCACAUGCAAAAAAAGGCACAUUCACACUGGCUGGUGAGCACUUACUGCAAGCAGUGCAGGGAGCCAGUCUGGGCUCUGGCCAUCCAGUCCUUGUUAGCAAUCUUUGGACACUGCUUAUAAAUCAGUGAAAGAGAUUUCUCAGCUUUUUCUCUGCUUGUUACACAUGAGGAUGGAUCCAACAUUGGUAUCAAAAGGUGAAAUGCUCAUUCCACUUUCCAGCUGAGGGCAAACCAAAAACAAACCAGUUCAAACUUUGCACCAGUGACAUGUGGAUAAUACGGUGGUGCAGGUUUUCUGUGUUUUCUGAUUAUAAAUGGCAAUCUGAAGUUAAGGUAGGGCUUCACAUUCCCAGAACCAAAGUGCCACCAGUGGCAUUGUCAGAGGGCUGCAGGAGGAGUGAUGGGCUGGGUGCUGAAAACAGCAUUACUGGAAAAUUUGCACAGAGCUCUGGGGCUUCCCGUGUCCUGUGGGAUGCACUGCUGUUUUUGAAAGCUAUAAAACUAGUCAAGUGACUUGAAAACAUCUCAUUAUUUCAUUCAAUGCGAAAAAUAUAAUCUCUGUUAGAGAUGGACUGUGAAGCAGUAUAACAAAAGCAAAGAUUAGUUCAAGAUUCCUGGCAUUUUUUGUGUGGGAUAUAAUUUUACUUGUGUGAGGACAUUUCCCUGCAAAUGGAACGCUGCAGUUGCAAUGUGAUGGAAAAGAGUAGCGGAAUUUGCUAGACUAACAGAGAAUAAUCUGACACCAAAGAGAAGCCUCUGACCUGUAGAUUUACACCGUUCAAAUAAACGAGAAGCUAGCCAGUAAGCCUCUUAAAAUGCCAACAGUGCUUGAAAAGGGCUAACAAGCGAGUUACCAUGUAAAAAAUGGGACUGUAGAUGACAUCAGAAGCAGCUCUUUGAGCAACUUCAGAAAACCCAGACUACCAUGAAGUUUUACAUGAAAGAGGACCUUAAAUUCCUAAGACACAUGACAUGUCUUAAAAUAAAUAUUUUUAUCUUUCCAAUACACAUCUUCUGUCUUUCAUUGUGGCUCUUGCUUUCACCUCUUGUCUAAGACCAAAUUAAAAGCCAGUAGUAAAUAUCAGUUUUCCAUUCUCACAUGUCACAUGGGCCAGAAGACACUGAGCACUGUGCUUAAAAAUAUUUUCAGAGACUAGACACAGAGGAUGUGUGAUGGAAAGAACCUGAGGACGUGCAUUAUUUCUGUAGUGGAAUAAAUCUUGCAGUAGUACUAGCAGAGGGAAGCAUCCUGGUGGUGGCAGCAAAUAAAAUGGGACAAAUAUGUAUGACAAGCACAGCAUGUCUCAACCCACACUCUGUCAAGUGAGACCCAGUCAGCAGGCAAAGGAGGGUGCACACGGGCAAGUCAGGAUCUGUUCCAGUGGAAGUGGAUAUUGGGCUGGGCCUUGUUACGUGCAAGCACAACUGAUUAAGCAAAAUUGCACUAUUGUGAACUGUGGAAAUUGCUAAUGCCACCAAGGGGAAUGGCCUGUACCAUUUGUGCUUCUCCCAAAUGCAUUUGCUGGAGCCAAGAUGCUGCUUGUGCAUCUGCAGUGCUGCUUCCCUUUGUGCUGGAAUUGUUUCACUCUGAGUUCAUGCUCCCAAAGCCCUGCUCUGCCAUUUGCCCUGUGUUCCUCUCUCCCCCCCAGGUUUUGCUGUAUCAUUGCUCUGACAUGCCCACUAUGAUCAUACCCGACAUUAUCCUGUCUGAUUUUUCUUCCUGACAGCCACUCACAGGAAAUUCUCAUCUGAAGGAGGAUUUGUGAAGACACCGUUGCCUCUGUGUGUUGUCUCUGACUUGUUCCCUUUUUGCAGUUCCUGUCAUAGCUCCUUGCUGCUCAGCCUCAGUUCUCUGAUGAAUCUAAUCUGCUCCUUGACUGAAGAUACCUCCACAGCUGUUACUCAGCACAUAGCAAGGGAGACAGCUCCAUCUUAUUACUCCCUUUUAAAAGCAAGAGCCUCGUGCAGAAUGUUUGCUUUCUUGGGGGUUGGACUAGAUGAUCUCCAGAGGUCUCUUCCAACUCUAAUAAUUCUGUGAUUCUGUAUUUCUUCCCUUUUAAGUCACUCCUUCCUUUGCAAUCUGAGGUGAGGAAUUUCUCAGCCCAGCUUUGGACCCUGGGGUUUGGAGAGAACCAUCAUCUCUGUCAACUUGCACUCAGUCAUCAAAGUCACCUUUUUAAUUUGGAAAAUGUGUUCUCUGUAUUGGUCAACUUCAGUAAACACCUUUAAUGUGACUGUAUGUGUGUGUGUCCAUUCACACUGAGGAAAG